rnacentral:lncRNA from 1 species
UAUGCUGGAGGACCAAACACCCUCGCAUCUGGAUUUGCAGCUGUCUUUGGCCAAGUUAGAUGAUGAGAGGGCCAUCGCUGGGAGGUCCUACAGAGCCAGCAGGAGGUGGGGCCAGGACUUUGCACAUCCUGCUCUUCCCAAGGGACUGGUGAGUCUGCGCUGAGCCAGAAGGGCUGCAGAACAUGGCAGUGCCCUGACCGAGCCGCUCUCCAGGAGACGCUGCCUUUAGUUUAGGUGGGUGCAUCUCCUCCUCUUCCCUCGCUCCCCAGCUCA